AUUGAACGCUGGCGGCAUGCUUUACACAUGCAAGUCGAACGGUAACAGGCCGCAAGGUGCUGACGAGUGGCGAACGGGUGAGUAAUGCAUCGGAACGUGCCCAGUCGUGGGGGAUAACGCAGCGAAAGCUGUGCUAAUACCGCAUACGAUCUAUGGAUGAAAGCGGGGGACCGUAAGGCCUCGCGCGUUUGGAGCGGCCGAUGUCAGAUUAGGUAGUUGGUGGGGUAAAGGCUCACCAAGCCAACGAUCUGUAGCUGGUCUGAGAGGACGACCAGCCACACUGGGACUGAGACACGGCCCAGACUCCAACGGGAGGCAGCAGUGGGGAAUUUUGGACAAUGGGCGCAAGCCUGAUCCAGCAAUGCCGCGUGCAGGAUGAAGGCCUUCGGGUUGUAAACUGCUUUUGUACGGAACGAAAAGACUCUGGUUAAUACCUGGGGUCCAUGACGGUACCGUAAGAAUAAGCACCGGCUAACUACGUGCCAGCAGCCGCCGUAACAC
rnacentral:rRNA from 1 species